rnacentral:rRNA from 1 species
CCUACGGGUGGCAGCAGUGAGGAAUAUUGGUCAAUGGGCGCAAGCCUGAACCAGCCAAGUCGCGUGAGGGAUGACGGUCCAAUGGAUUGUAAACCUCUUUUGUCGGGGAGCAAGGCGCGCCACGUGUGGCGGGAAGGAGAGUACCCGAAGAAAAAGCAUAGGCUAACUCCGUGCCAGCAGCCGCGGUAAUACGGAGGAUGCGAGCGUUAUCCGGAUUUAUUGGGGUUAAAGGGUGCGUAGGCGGAAGGUUAAGUCAGCGGUCAAAUGUCGGGGCUCAAAACCGGCCUGCCGUUGAAACUGGUCUUCUGGAUUGAGCGAGAAGUAUGCGGAAUGCGUGGUGUAGCGUUGACAUGCAU